AGCGAACGCUGGCGGCAGGCUUAACACAUGCAAGUCGAGCGGGCGUAGCAAUACGUCAGCGGCAGACGGGUGAGUAACGCGUGGGAACAUACCUUUUGGUUCGGAACAACACAGGGAAACUUGUGCUAAUACCGGAUAAGCCCUUACGGGGAAAGAUUUAUCGCCGAAAGAUUGGCCCGCGUCUGAUUAGCUAGUUGGUGAGGUAAUGGCUCACCAAGGCGACGAUCAGUAGCGGUCUGAGAGGAUGAUCAGCCACAUUGGGACUGGGACACGGCCCAAACUCCUACGGGAGGCAGCAGUGGGGAAUAUUGGACAAUGGGCGCAAG
rnacentral:rRNA from 1 species